rnacentral:rRNA from 1 species
CCUACGUGAGGCAGCAGUGAGGAAUAUUGGUCAAUGGGCGCGAGCCUGAACCAGCCAAGUCGCGUGAGGGAAGACGGUCCUAUGGAUUGUAAACCUCUUUUGUCGGGGAGCAAAAGACGCCACGCGUGGCGUUCCGAGAGUACCCGAAGAAAAAGCAUCGGCUAACUGCGUGCCAGCAGCCGCGGUAAUCCGGAGGAUGCGAGAGUUAUCCGGAUUUAUUGGGUUUAAAGGGAGCGUAGGCCGCAUGUUAAGGGUGCUGUGAAAUGUCCGGGCUCAACCCGGGCCUUGCAGCGCGAACUGGCGUGCUUGAGUCCGCGGAAAGCAGGCGGAAUGCGUCGUGUAGCGGUGAAAUGCUUAGAUAUGACGAAGAACCCCGAUUGCGAAGGCAGCUUGCUGCAGCGGAACUGACGCUGAUGCUCGAAAGCGCGGGUAUCGAACAGGAUUAGAUACCCGAGUAGUC